rnacentral:misc_RNA from 1 species
GAUGAAGAACGUAGCGAAAUGCGAUAAGUAAUGUGAAUUGCAGAAUUCAGUGAAUCAUCGAAUCUUUGAACGCACCUUGCGCCCUUUGGACAUUCCGAAGGGCAUGCCUGUUUGAGUAUCAUGAACACCUCAACUCUCACGGCUUGUCCGUGAUGAGCUUGGACUUUGGGGGUCUUGCCGGCCUGUGGUCGGCUCCUCUCAAAUGGAUCAGCUUGCCAGUGUUUGGUGGCAUCACAGGUGUGAUAACUAUCUGCGCUUGUGGUUUUCCAUCAGAUAACCUUCAGUGAUAUGGAGGUUCGCUGGAGCUCACAAAUGUCUCUCCUUAGUGAGGACAGCUCUUUGAACGUUUGAUCUCAAAUCAGGUAGGACUACCCGCUGAACUUAAGCAUAUCAAUAAGCAGAGGA